rnacentral:lncRNA from 1 species
UGGCUGAGCGCAGUACAUGUCAUAGGGUUAGUGGAUUGGAGGUGAUACGUGUUAAAUUAUAUGUACGAAAUAACUGUUAUUCUCUAAAGACUUAAGCUAUCAGAGAAUAAUAUGUUUUAAUAUUUAUAUUUAAUACUUCCUCCCCACGUUUAGGCGUGAGAUUUUUUUUAUAAACUUUAAGACAUAAGCUUAAUUGAAUUAAAUAGGAGGAAAUUAAUUAUGCAAAAAGUUGCUUGGGAGAAUUCAAACUUAAGACUUUCUAUUUUAAUAUCAUAUUAAAUUAUGUGAAACAGCGGUUUUUCUUCAAAAACUUAAACCGCCAAAAAAUAGUAUUUUUUAAUAUAUAUAUAUUUAACAGAGAUAGUAAAUUAUAUUUUUUUCACCCCAUGCAUAAUUUAUACUUUAUUAC